rnacentral:lncRNA from 1 species
GAGAGACAACAUAAUAAAUUAUUAAUUUAAAGAACGUAAAAAAAAAAAAAAGUAAUGACGUUAAAUAUGCAAAGAACAUUUAAUAAUCAUCAUAAACAUAUAUUUUAUAACCAUAAAAAAUUAGAGCAAAGAGUACAUUAAUUAAAGUUUGAAUUAGAAUAGAUACAAGUUUAUGUGUGGCAACGAUGGAUAGAAAAUUCUUUACAAAUUGACUCUUUACAUGGCACAUUAUGUGGCAGGCAAAUUAUGGAAGAAUUAUGGCAAGUAAAUACACAAAUUAACGAUUGUUCAUGCACGAUUGUGCAAACAGAGAAAAAGUUUACAUGUUACUAAAUUAAUUUUAGUACACUUG